rnacentral:lncRNA from 1 species
CGUUUUUUUUUUUUUUUUUUAACUAAACCUUUUAUUAUCUGGUCUGUCAAUUUUUUAAUAGUAUCAACUAUCUAACAAUCUAACACUCAAUGAUCUUAUUCUACUUUCCCUUCUCUUUCCUCUCUCCCUUCUCCUCUCAAUUUUUUUUGUUGUUUUGCCCUUUUCUGUUUUUAUUUUGGAAACUUGCAAAUGUGUACAAAAGUAUAGAAAGUAAUGUAAUAAAGCCAAUGUUCCUAUCACCCGCUUUCAACAACUCUCAACAUUUGGUUCAUUUUCUUUCAUUUACAUUCCCCCAAUUCACAUGUCCCUAGAUUAUUCUGAAGCAAAUUUCAAACCUCAUGUCAUUUUAUCUGUAACUAUUUCAAAGUGUGUAUAAAAGAUAAAGACUUUUAAAAUUAUUGCCACAAUACUAUUAUCCCAGUUAAAAUAAAUGAGUAAGAAUUCC